rnacentral:snRNA from 1 species
AUCGCUUCUCGCCUUUUGGCUAAGAUCAAGUGUAGUAUCUGUUCUUACCAGAUGGACACUUCAAGAGAAGAGAUUCGGUUGCCGACCACGAUGGUGCGGCUGAAAAAUACUGUCAGAGUUCAAGUGAAGAAAGGAAGCUGAAAAUGGAGAUUAAGAAGAGGUUUGGACGGGAUUUCGUCGUUGUCGAGGUGUUAAGAGGAGUUUUUGGAAUUCCUGCGUCCCUGAUCUUUG